UACAGAGGGUGCGAGCGUUAAUCGGAAUUACUGGGCGUAAAGCGCACGUAGGCGGCUUGGUAUGUCGGGUGUGAAAUCCCCGGGCUCAACCUGGGAACUGCAUCCGAAACUGCCUUGCUCGAGUAUGGGAGAGGGAAGUGGAAUUUCCGGUGUAGCGGUGAAAUGCGCAGAUAUCGGGAGGAACACCCGUAGCGAAGGCGGCACUCUGGGCCGUGACUGACGCUGAGGAGCGAAAGCGUGGGGAGCA
rnacentral:rRNA from 1 species